UAAUCGUGGAUCAGAAUGCCAUGGUGAAUACGUUCCCGGGCCUUGUACACACCGCCCGUCACACCAUGGGAGUGGGUUGCAAAAGAAGUAGGUAGCUUAACCUUCGGGAGGGCGCUUACCACUUUGUGAUUCAUGACUGGGGUGAAGUCGUAACAAGGUAACCGUAGGGGAACCUGCGGUUGGAUCACCUCCUUACCUUAAAGAA
rnacentral:rRNA from 1 species